CAGCAGCAGCCGCGGUAAUACGUAGGGUGCGAGCGUUAAUCGGAAUUACUGGGCGUAAAGCGUGCGCAGGCGGUUAUAUAAGACAGAUGUGAAAUCCCCGGGCUCAACCUGGGACCUGCAUUUGUGACUGUAUAGCUAGAGUACGGUAGAGGGGGAUGGAAUUCCGCGUGUAGCAGUGAAAUGCGUAGAUAUGCGGAGGAACACCGAUGGCGAAGGCAAUCCCCUGGACCUGUACUGACGCUCAUGCACGAAAGCGUGGGGAGCAAACAGGAUUAGAUACCCCUGUAGUCCCUGUCUCUUAUAC
rnacentral:rRNA from 1 species